AAGAAGUUACUCAAGGGCAUACGGUGGAUGCCUUGGCACCAGGAGGCGAAGAAGGACGCGCUAACCUGCGAAAAGUUCCGGCGAGGUGGUACGAACCUUUGACCCGGAAAUAUCCGAAUGGGGCAACCCACUGGGAGUGAUGUCCCAGUAUUGCAUGGUGAAUUCAUAGCCAUGCAAGGCGAACGCGGGGAACUGAAACAUCUCAGUACCCGCAGGAAGAGAAAUCAACCGAGAUUCCGUCAGUAGCGGCGAGCGAACGCGGAGGAGCCUGUGUUGCGUAAUCGAAGCGCAUGCUAAGAGAACAAGUUGGGAAGCUUGGCCAUAGCGGGUAACAGCCCCGUAUCUGAAAGUAUGUGUGUAGAGGCAACCGCUAAGUAGGCCGGGGCACGUGAAACCCUGGUUGAAGAUGGGGGGACCACCCUCCAAGGCUAAAUACUCCCUGGUGACCGAUAGUGAAGCAGUACCGUGAGGGAAAGGUGAAAAGAACCCCGUUGAGGGGAGUGAAAUAGAACCUGAAACCGUAUGCCUACAAGCCGUUCGAGCAUCCUUGUGGUGUGAGAGCGUGCCUUUUGCAUAAUGAGCCUGCGAGUUAUUGUAUAUUGCGAGGUUAAGUCGUUAGACGCAGCCGUAGUGAAAGCGAGCCUGAAUAGGGCGUCAGUAGUAUGCAAUAGACGCGAAACCAAGUGAUCUACGCCUGUCCAGGGUGAAGCUUUGGUAACACAAAGUGGAGGCCCGAACCAGUAUGGGUUGAAAACCGUUUGGAUGAGGUGGGCGUAGGGGUGAAAGGCCAAUCAAACUUGGAGAUAGCUCGUUCUCCUCGAAAUAUAUUGAGGUAUAGCCUCGAGUGUUUGUUUAUGGGUGUAGAGCACUGAAUCGGCUAGGGGUCCCACCAGAUUACCAAACCGAAUCAAACUCCGAAUCCCAUAAGCCCAAGCUCGGGAGUCAGAGCGCGAGAGAUAAGUUUCGUGCUCGAGAGGGAAACAGCCCAGACUAUCAGCUAAGGUCCUUAAGUGUGUGUUAAGUGGAAAAGGAUGUGGGUUUGCCCGGACAACCAGGAGGUUGGCUUAGAAGCAGCCAUCCUUUAAAGAAAGCGUAAUAGCUCACUGGUCGAGUGAACCUGCGCCGAAAAUAUAACGGGGCUCAAACACACCACCGAAGCUAUAGGAUCAACCAAGUUGUUGAUCGGUAGAGGAGCGUUGUGUACAGCGAUGAAGGUGUUUCGUAAGGAAUGCUGGAGCGUACACGAGUGAUCCUGCAGGCAUGAGUAACGAAAAAAUGGGUGAGAACCCCAUUCGCCGAAAGCCUAAGGUUUCCUGUGCAAUGUCAGUCAGAACAGGGUGAGUCGGCCCCUAAGGCGAGGCCGAAAGGCGUAGUCGACGGGAAACAGGUAAAAAUUCCUGUACCACAUAUCAACACGACGCGGGGACGGAGAAAGGUAUCCGAGAGAACUGAUGGAAGUGUUCUUUGAAGGGUGUAGGCUCAGGUGUAGUGAAAAGCGCACCUGAUAAAAGCUGAGGCCUAAUAACGAGAAUCUUCUUCGGAAGAUUCAAGUCGGAAAUCCUCUGCUUCCAAGAAAAUCCGCUAAGGUUCAUUGGUAUGUGACCGUACCGCAAACCGACACAGGUAGGCAGGUAGAGAAUACUAAGGCGCACGAGAGAACUCCAGCUAAGGAACUCGGCAAAUUGACCCCGUAACUUCGGGAGAAGGGGUGCCCCAUUAUGGUGAUAGGACUUGCUCCUUGAGCCAGAAGGGGUCGCAGAGAAUAGUCCCAGGCGACUGUUUAUCAAAAACACAGCACUCUGCAAACACGUAAGUGGACGUAUAGGGUGUGACGCCUGCCCGGUGCCGGAAGGUUAAGAGGAGAGGUCAGCGCAAGCGAAGCUUUGAAUCGAAGCCCCGGUAAACGGCGGCCGUAACUAUAACGGUCCUAAGGUAGCGAAAUUCCUUGUCGGGUAAGUUCCGACCUGCACGAAUGGCGUAACGAUCUGGGAGCUGUCUCGGCUGGAGACUCGGUGAAAUUGCAUUAGCGGUGAAGAUGCCGCUUACCCGCAGCAAGACGGAAAGACCCCGUGCACCUUUACUAUAGCUUGGCAAUGAUACUCGGUGUAGUAUGUGUAGGAUAGGUGGGAGGCGAUGAAGCGUGUACGCCAGUAUGCGUGGAGCCAUCCUUGAAAUACCACCCUUACUGCACUGGCUAUCUAACUUACGCCCCUUAUCGGGGUGAAGGACAUUGUCUGGUGGGUAGUUUGACUGGGGCGGUCGCCUCCGAAAGAGUAACGGAGGCGCGCGAAGGUUCCCUCAGGACGGUUGGAAAUCGUCCAUCGAGUGUAUUGGCAUAAGGGAGCUUGACUGCAAGACCCACAAGUCGAGCAGGUACGAAAGUAGGUCAAAGUGAUCCGGUGGUUCCGCGUGGAAGGGCCAUCGCUCAACGGAUAAAAGGUACGCCGGGGAUAACAGGCUUAUCUCCCCCAAGAGUUCACAUCGACGGGGAGGUUUGGCACCUCGAUGUCGGCUCAUCGCAUCCUGGGGCUGGAGCAGGUCCCAAGGGUAUGGCUGUUCGCCAUUUAAAGCGGUACGCGAGCUGGGUUCAGAACGUCGUGAGACAGUUCGGUCCCUAUCUGCUGUGGGCGCAGGAUAUUUGAGAGGAUUUGUCCCUAGUACGAGAGGACCGGGAUGAACGAACCUCUUGUGCACCGGUUGUUUCGCCAGAAGCACCGCCGGGUAGCUAUGUUCGGAAUGGAUAACCGCUGAAAGCAUCUAAGCGGGAAGCCAGCCUCAAGAUAAGAUAUCCCCAUGAGAGUCCAGGAAGACGACCUGGUUGAUAGGCUGGGUGUGUAAUCACCGUAAGGUGUUCAGCAGACCAGUACUAAUUCUCCAUUGUUCUUUUUCU
rfam:Desulfurispirillum indicum S5, complete genome.